rnacentral:lncRNA from 1 species
CUUUGAUGAGAAAAUAGAUCAAGAAAUUAAAAUUGUGCAGGAGACCAAUGUGGAGGACAACAAAGAAAUUGAGAAAACCUCCAACAAGGAGCAUGUUUUGUGCUGAUGCUAAUGAGGAUCUAGAAGAAUUAGAAGAUGAGGAUAAAUUCACUGAGGUUUUGUCCAAGGAAGGAAAAAAACAAAAGAAAUGCCAAGGUAGAGCAUUGAAGACAAACUUGUACAACACCCAUCAAGAACUGUUCCUUCUAAUACCUCGCAACGAAAUUCCUCUACAGGCAUGUAAGAGGAAUAGCUACACAUGAUUCUAGGUUGGUAGUUAAAAGCUUCUGUACAAAGCAUAAGCCAAAAUUUCUUUUUCUCUUUGAACAUUGGAUGCAUUAUAGGAAUUUCCUUGCUAAAUUUUGGAUUGUGGAUUGGGCUUGGCCUGAAGUCUUUUUUAUUUAAUUGGAGACGUGGAUGUUCCUAACUAAUGAUGAUUAUGCUUUAAUCAAGUGAAUCCUACCAUGGUAUGUAUAUCUGAACAAAAAGUCUCAUAUUAUGAGUGAUUUUAAUGUUG